AGCUUUGGAGCUGGGAUUAGAACAGUUCUUCAGACCUCACUGUCCUGGGCUGGUCUCCCAAGAGGAAGUGGGCAGGUCACUGAGGGAGGGAAGCCAUCAAGGCCAUCAGAGCAAAUACAUAGAGGUCAGCUGAAGGUGUCCCAGAGUGCUGGAUUACAGUGUGUGUCUCCAUGCCUGGGGACACACGCUGUAACGUAUGUGGUGCUGGGGACCAAACCCAUGUCUCUGUGCAUCUGAGGCCAGGUCUGCUCACUACCACAGGCUGACCUGCCGCCUCAGCCCCGGUGAAGUUCCAACACAGACCAGAGAAGUUGCUGUCCAUAGCUGGGGCUUCCAGAAGUGGCCCUGCCUUUGCCUGACAGCUGUGGCCUCUGUCCUCUAUGGCUUUCCUUAGAUGGAGCCUCUGUCAGAGCCAAGAUGGUGCCGGUUUCCUCCGACUGUGACUAGAAGAUGGUGAGACCGAAGGCAACUUUAGAAGGCAACAAACCUUCAUACUGUCUUUUCCCAGGGAGGAGCCAUGAACUUUUGGUGGCCCUUCUCCUCAAGCUGGAAGAACAUUCGGGCUGGUGAACAUUAACCCUUCUGCAGCCAUGCCACGGUGAAACAGACACAAAACAACGUGGAUGAACCUUAGCCCCUUCCAUGGUUUAAAUGAGAGCAGCUCAUCUAGGCACGUAUGUUUGAAUAUUUGGCCUCCAAUUGGAAGAACCAGAUGGGAAAGGUGCAUACUAUGUCAUUAAAGGCAACUAAGUAAAGGCAAACCAUGCACAGACUGAGGAGUGUGUCUGGGAGCUGAUGCUGAGUUGAAGCUCAUGCCCUGGGAGAUGGAUGCAACUCUCUCUCCUUUAGUGUCCCUCAGGUCGUCCUUUGCAUCAUGAAGACCAAUCUUCAUGUCCAAGAAUAAGUCUUCAUUUAUCUAUCCCGAGUCUGUCUUGCUCCACAGUGCUGGAAGUGAGGCCGUUGCCAGCACAAUUAGGAAGUUCUGCAGUUGGGGGACAGGCAGAACCCUGAAGAGAAAGCAAGGCUCUGCUUGUAAAAGGGAAAGGGAUGCUGAUAUUGGAAUAUCCUCUUGAAGGUCUUCAAACAUAGGUUGUCCACAGUUGAACGCCUAGCUGUCCUCUCAACCUCAACAACGGCCGGACAUGCUGCCUCCUGUAGGAUGAAUGCCUGGGAGUCAAACCUGGAAAACAUCAAACUCUGUCCUUCCUGGUUCAGCCUCUUUGGGGCUUAAUAUCAACUUGAAGGAUCUAGAAUCAUCCAGGAGACAGGCCUCUGGGCAUGAGGAACUUCUAGAUGGAUUAAUAAAGAUGGGAAGGUCCACUGGAAUUUUGGGAUUAAGGUGGGAAGAUCCACCUUAGCUAUGGGUAACAUCAUCUCCUGGGCUGGAGCACAGGACUGAAAACAAAGGAGAAGCCAAGCUGAGCAUUCGUCUCUUUCCACUUCCUGACUGUGGAUGGAAUGUGAUCAGCUGCCUUGAAUUUCUGCCACCAUGCCAUCCCCACCAUGGUGGACUGAACUCUUACUCUGUGAGCCAGAAUGUACCUACCCUUCCUUCUUUAUACUGCCUUUGCAAAGCAUUUUGUUACAGCAAUAAUAAAAGUAAUCAAGAGAGCAACCUCACCGCAUCUGCAGAUCCCAUUGUCCUGGUCUCUGAGUCAGUGCCCAUUUUUCCACUGCUAGAAUUCUCCAGCCUCAGCCGCCUCUUCGCAGUGAUCUCCCAAUGGUUUCCCCAUCACUUUCCCAUGGGUGGCAAGCUACACCUAUCCUUCAGACUGCCCUUUACACAAUGACUACAGUGAAUGGCAAAUGAACUCCAGUGCAGAAUAA
rnacentral:lncRNA from 1 species